AGUGAACGCUGGCGGUAGGCCUAACACAUGCAAGUCGAACGGCAGCACAGUAAGAGCUUGCUCUUACGGGUGGCGAGUGGCGGACGGGUGAGGAAUACAUCGGAAUCUACUUUUUCGUGGGGGAUAACGUAGGGAAACUUACGCUAAUACCGCAUACGACCUACGGGUGAAAGCAGGGGAUCUUCGGACCUUGCGCGAUUGAAUGAGCCGAUGUCGGAUUAGCUAGUUGGCGGGGUAAAGGCCCACCAAGGCGACGAUCCGUAGCUGGUCUGAGAGGAUGAUCAGCCACACUGGAACUGGGACACGGUCCAGGCUACUACGGGAGGCAGCAGUGGGGAAUAUUGGACAGUAGGCGCAAGCCUGAUCCAGCCAUACCGCGUGGGUGAAGAAGGCCUUCGGGUUGUAAAGCCCUUUUGUUGGGAAAGAAAAGCAGCAGGUUAAUACCCCGCUGUUCUGACGGUACCCAAAGAAUAAGCACCGGCUAACUUCGUG
rnacentral:rRNA from 1 species